CUGGAGCAGCAGGCCGGACCUCUCAGCUCUACAACUUUGGACAUCGCGUUUUCUGAUGAACUUUUUACCCGUAAAUGUGUCGAAAUUUUUACCCUGGCCAGCCAUGUGCAUUCAGAAAAAUUCCUACUAUAACUGUUGCACGUUUGGUACCAAUUUGGCAGAGACUUGAAGUAGGCAUACAAGACAGAAUUUCAUGAAACUUGUGAUUUUUUGUCACUGGGUGGCCAGAACAGUUAUACAAAAAACUGCAGUCUUCAACACAACAUUCGCUGUUGAGACCUUUACUACAAUUCGUGAGUUCCACGAAGUUCUUAAAUUCCAACUUUGAAAAUUCGUGAGUGGCUGGGAACUCCGCUGAAUUGCCGUAGAAUGCAGUGUAAAACUUCACAACCAAAGCUGGACACAUCGAGCCAACAACAUUGUUUUUGUUGAGAAACGGGUAACAGCUGAUGCAGCUGUAAGCAAUGACUGGAAACUGGGGGCAACUUAAUAGCCGACCUAGCAGCGAGCUUUCAUCCAGGCAAGCUUCAGGAGACAUCGAUGGGACUCGUGUCGAUGCCUCUGAAGAGAACAUGGCAGUUGAAUAUCUUCGAUAUGUGAUAUCUGGGCUUACAUUGGAGGUCAACCACUAAGAUUGUCCAGAUGGGUGUUGAAGAUCAAUGGAUUUGUGGUAUGAGGACGUACUUGGACUUGGAGGUCACCAAAGGACCAAGGUAAAAACAACUUUGCCAUAUUAUAUCCGACCUCCACUUUUUAAAGUCCGCUUUUGCGAUUUACCUUUUUGGAUAAUCUCUUUUUUUUUAAACUGGCAGUAAAUACAACUGAGUAAGGUUUGUGAUCACACAGACCUUUUACUUUUUCGAAAAAACAACCAAAUUUUAAGUGUUUGCACAUGAUAAAUGUAUCAAUUAGUGAAUUUAAUAUGCAAAAGAGGCUCUUUCAUGAGUUCCAAUUUCUUUGGGAAAAAACCCACAGUUAAAAAGUCAGAUUUUUGAUAGAGCCAAUAGUGGAGGUUGGGUAGCGCAAGUUGAACCUCAAGUUCAAGAUCAAGACAAGAUGAAGACUGCAAAGAGUAAGAGAAGAUCUAACCCGCUCUCUUGCAGAGUCCCACCCCUCGUACCACCCCUUCCCCUCCAAGAUGUUUGGCGACCUUGUUGAUGUUGUCCUUGCCUGAGAGUUUUCAAGAUGACUUCAGAUUUUCUUGGCUGGGCAUUUCUUGAUUUGCAUAUUGGUCGAAGCCAAUGAUGCUUUUUAACUAGGAGACUUGUCUAUACUGGAAAUUUUCUGUUGGGUUGAUACUUUAAGUUAUCAGUUGUCAUAUUUAUUUAUAAUUGCCAUGAUCUUAAACUCCAAGUAGUGUAAUGUAUGUUUAGACAAGGAAGAAUAGAAAUGCAACUAAAACUUCCAAUCAAAAUAAUUCUCUAAAGUUCUGAUGAUUUUUUUUUAUUUGUUAUGUUUUUUUGACAAAGCAAAGCAGAACAAUUUAAUUUAGUCAACAUAAAACACACCACACUAAGUAAAAGUAAUCACAUAGUCGAAUAUGUUAGUCAAAUUACCAUUCAUUUGAUGUAUAAUGUUUGAUUUAGGAGUAUUUAAAUAGAUAAUUUAGACAAACUAAAUACAUAUUGACAUAUUCCUAAUAUCAACAUUACAUCAAUAUGAAUGGAGAAACGUUCAACUAUUGAAGUCUUUAAAAAUUAGGCGAAAAAAUCAUACCUAGGCCCUAAUACAAAAAAAGCUGUGUAUAAAUAUCUUGCUCAUUUAGAUCAAAUAAGUUCAAAUAAAAACAAAUGGGAGGGGACCUAAAACCUUUAAACUUGAACUUCUCAAAGCUAUUUGCUCAAAAUGCGCAUAUUUUGUAUUAACUUCCCUAAACAUAUUGUUUGCGAGCGCUUCGAGAAAAAUAAUAAAAAAUAAACGAGGACGGGAAAGACUGAAGAAGGUGGAAAAAAAGAAAGGAAGAAGAAAGAGCAGAGAACCCAUGGAGGAAAGAGACCAGUGAUGCUGAGGUAUGUUUGGUGGUAAGACAGAAAGGCCUAGAGUAAUAAAGACUUGGAGAUUAGGCUAACCCUCUACUCUUUCAGCAGGUUUACUGGCAAUGGGUAAAGUAUAAGAUGACUGGUGUAGUUCUUAGUCUUGAUUCUAAGAUACUUAAUCUUGAAACAAAACUAAGAGCUACCCAGUCAUUGGUAAAUGCCAAACUUGAGUAGACAAUGAAUACUCUCCCCUGAUAUCUCUAAAGAGUGACUGCAGCUGAGGUUAAGUAUAACAGGUGAAGUAUCAAUGUAAAAAUUACCUUUUCUCAACAACUGCCGAAUAACCAACAUUUUCUGAACAGCUUCCCAAUAAUCAACAUUUUCUCAACAGCUUCCAAAUAACCAAC